UAGUUCCUGCCUGCAGGAAACUAUAGCGGAGGAGUUGAAACUAACUAGUGAUUAAACUAAGCUGCAACAAUCAAUCAGGAACAAUCUUUUUUAAAUAUUUCCUUUCCAUAUGCUAUUUCUAUUAGUGAAGUUGCAUAUUUUUUAUGAGCAUUUUAAAUAGAAAAUGUUUUGGCCGCCUAUGAUUGGCAUUGCAGAGGAGUGACAGACUUUUCCAGAGAUGUUCACAGUUUUCUAUACGAGAGAACGCAUGACUACCAAAGGGAGGGUGAGAAAAUAGAAGUCUUGGGGUAUUCAUUUCUGGACAUGGCACUGCAUAUUCUGCCAUCGCUGAUGCUGCCCCAGACCCCGUUGCCAUUACCGUCCACCUGUCUCUGCAUUGCAUUCAAAACCGCUUAUAUUUUUCUGGGUUAAUAGUCAUCAUAACAGACACUAGAUUUAUAUGGUCGAGAAGGAGAUGGAUGGAUUGCAGUCUCUGCAACUUUGUAUAGAGGCUCUGAUGCCCUCGGUAGCAUGGAAAUAGGAGGAGAAGAAUCAAAGUGACUGCUAUGAGAAUUUUGGGCCUGCUGAACAAGCCACACAUUAGGACAAUUUCUUUGGGGGCUUGGUUAUGAAAUCCGUGGUCAUAUGGAGUAGCCUGGCUAUGUAAAAGAUACAUAAAGUAAGUAUAAUAACUGCAACUGCAUCAUUUUAGCAAUUGGUAAUAAAAUGGCUCAGAUCAAGGAAGGGAAAUUUAAAAAACAAAUUAGGCUUGUAGGUCUUUAAACUGAUUCAUUUCUCUAUACAGGGCAAUGACCCUAACUAUUCCCGUUUUUACAUUAGUAAGCAAUGUUUACCCUAAAUUUUAUGUAUGUUUUGUUUUCUGUUAAACCUUUCUUUCCUUACCAGAAUGGAUAAAGCUGCAAAUGAUGGCACAGCUGCGGCUCAACUUCAAGACGAGAACUUCAGCAGGACACUUUGGCAGGCCUACCUAAAGCCCUCCGUUCUAACAUCUAUCACCAUCUCUUUCUACCAACCGUUGAAAACACUUACAUAUUCAAAGGAGUUUCAAGAAAUAUGCUUUUGCAAUUUGUUGCAGAGAUGAAAGGAGAAUACUUUCCACAAAAUGCAGAUAUCAUUUUAAAGAACCAAAUUCCUGGGGAUUUUUACAUAAUUAUUUCUGGAACAGUGAAUAUAUUCACACAUGCAAAUGGAAGCGAACAGUUUCUAGAAAAAGAAGGAACUCCAAAUUUGAUUGGGGAGAUUGCUGUACUUUUGGAUAUCCCACAACCUUUUACACUAAGAACUACCAAACUUAGCCAGCUUCUUCGAUUGGGUCCCUAAUGAUCCAAAUUGUUUAAUAUCUAAUCUUUGGAAAGUAGUCUUGGAGUUCCCAUAUAUUAACUUUAAAACUCAUCCAGAUCAUUGAAAAAAAGAUUAUGAUAUCUCCUGACAGUCUUAAAAGCUGCACAGAAUCAUUCAAAUGAAAUAAUGUUAAGAUUAAAUCAUUUGCACAAAUCAAAAUUUAAAAUGUGUUGUUAAACCCACCAUAUAUUUUGUACGGUUUAACUCAAUGCAUCACUAUAUAUGUUAAUAUGUUUACGAUUUCUAUGAUUUGUCUUACCACUAUAGACCUUAAUAUGUUUAUGAUUUCAAUGGUUUUUCUUGUGAAUAGGU